GGGCACCACCAGGAGUGGAGCCUGCGGCUUAAUUUGACUCAACACGGGAAAACUCACCCGGCCCGGACACUAGGAGGAUUGACAGACUGACUAGCUCUUUCUUGAUUCAGUGGGUGGUGGUGCAUGGCCGUUCUUAGUUGGUGGAGCGAUUUGUCUGGUUAAUUCCGAUAACGAACGAGACUCUAGCCUACUGAAUAGAUCGUCGGCUUACAAACGCCGGCGAGACUUCUUAGAGGGACAGGCGGUGAUUCAACCGCACGAAACAGAGCAAUAACAGGUCUGUGAUGCCCUUAGAUGUCCGGGGCCGCACGCGCGCUACACUGAAGUGAUCAGCGUGCUUUUUCAACCUACUCUGUCAAGAGUGGGGAACCCAAUGAACCUUCUUCGUGAUUGGGAUAGGGGAUUGUAAUUAUUCCCCUUGAACGAGGAAUUCCCAGUAAGCGCGAGUCAUAAGCUCGCGUUGAUUACGUCCCUGCCCUUUGUACACACCGCCCGUCGCUACUACCGAUUGAAUGUUUU
rnacentral:rRNA from 1 species